AGGAUCUCACUAUGCAGUUCAGGCUAGCAUUGAAGUCACUAUGUAUCCUAGACUGAUCUCAAACUCGAGGUGAUCUUCCUGCCUCAGCUUCCCUAGUGCUGGGACUACAGGAAGACACAGCUGUUAGCAGGCAGCUUGUGGGCCCUGACGCAAGGAGGCGAAGCCUUCCUGUGAACUUCAGAACACAUGCCAGCCUGCCGCCUGGAGUGGACCAGCUGCCAUCUUGAAUCAUGAAGCUGGGACCUUGGACAGCAGAGCAAGAAGACAGAAGAGACCUGGAUCUCUGGUUAUGGAGAACCAGACAGUCCUGGAUCUUAUACGUGGAUACAUAUAUACAUUAACUUUUGUACUUUUAAAGACACUGUGAUUUAGGUUUUUUUCCUGGUAUUUAUAAACUGAAUCUAAGCAUGCAGAGGAGAAUCUAAGAUGCAGAGGAGAAGGUUGUCUUUUCCCCAAGUUUGUUUAGAAAAAUUGAGGACUGUUAAGAAGCUAUAGGUUAGUCUAAUAUAACUCUUGUGGACUUUGGGCAAAUCAUUAGAUCAAUGAAAUAACCAGCAAGCGUAGAAAGAGUCAG
rnacentral:lncRNA from 1 species